AGCGAACGCUGGCGGCAGGCUUAACACAUGCAAGUCGAGCGGGCAUCCUUGUGGUGUCAGCGGCAGACGGGUGAGUAACGCGUGGGAACGUGCCCUUCGGUUCGGAAUAACUCAGGGAAACUUGAGCUAAUACCGGAUACGUGCGAGAGCAGAAAGGUUUAUCUGCCGAAGGAUCGGCCCGCGUCUGAUUAGCUAGUUGGUGAGGUUACGGCUCACCAAGGCGACGAUCAGUAGCUGGUCUGCGAGGAUGAUCAGCCACACUGGGACUGAGACACGGCCCAGACUCCUACGGGAGGCAGCAGUGGGGAAUAGUGGACGAGGGGGGCAACCCUGAUCCAGCCAUGCCGCGUAAGUGAUGACGGCCUUAGGGUUGUAAAGCUCUUUUCUCCGGGACGAUAAUGACGGUACCGGAGGAAUAAGCCCCGGCUAACUUCGUG
rnacentral:rRNA from 1 species